rnacentral:rRNA from 1 species
UGGGGAAUUUUGGACAAUGGGGGCAACCCUGAUCCAGCCAUCCCGCGUGUGCGAUGAAGGCCUUCGGGUUGUAAAGCACUUUUGGCAGGGAAGAAAUAGGUUCGGAUAAUAUCUGGACUGACUGACGGUACCUGCAGAAUAAGCACCGGCUAACUACGUGCCAGCAGCCGCGGUAAUACGUAGGGUGCAAGCGUUAAUCGGAAUUACUGGGCGUAAAGCGUGCGCAGGCGGUUCGGCAAGAAAGGUGUGAAAUCCCAGGGCUUAACCUUGGAACUGCACUUUUAACUGCCGGGCUAGAGUAUGUCAGAGGGGGGUAGAAUUCCACGUGUAGCAGUGAAAUGCGUAGAGAUGUGGAGGAAUACCGAUGGCGAAGGCAGCCCCCUGGGAUAAUACUGACGCUCAUGCACGAAAGCGUGGGGAGCAAACAGG